rnacentral:rRNA from 1 species
GCACAAGCGGUGGAUGAUGUGGUUUAAUUCGAUGCAACGCGAAAACCUUACCCACCUUUGACAUGGCAGGAAGUAUUCAGAGAUGGAUACGUGCCCGAAAGGGAACCUGCACACAGGUGCUGCAUGGCUGUCGUCAGCUCGUGUCGUGAGAUGUUGGGUUAAGUCCCGCAACGAGCGCAACCCUUGCCAUUAGUUGCUACGAAAGGGCACUCUAAUGGGACUGCCGGUGACAAACCGGAGGAAGGUGGGGAUGACGUCAAGUCCUCAUGGCCCUUAUAGGUGGGGCUACACACGUCAUACAAUGGCUGGUACAGAGGGUUGCCAACCCGCGAGGGGGAGCUAAUCCCAUCAAAACGGGGCAUGGUUCGGAUUGCAGGCUGCAAUUCGCCUGCAUGAAGCCGGAAUCGCUAGUAAUCGCGGGUCAGCCACACCGCGGUGAAUACGUACUCGGGGCUU